CUGUCUUCUAAGUACCUAUAUUUCUAACCAAAGGUUUGACCUCUAACAGCUAGACAUGGGUGAAAUUGGAUACCAAGCUUAAUGGUUUACCUACAGCAUCAUAGGAAAAUGGCAAUGAUAAAAUGGGAGAGAAUGGAUUGAUUAUUGCUGCUUGAGCCCAUACAGAAAUAGGGCCUUGGAGUUGCUGGAUGCCAUUGAUUGCUAUCUAUUCAUUCUCACAACAACUUUAAGGAAAAUGCAGCCAAGAGGAGAUAUACUCCCAGGGCAUGCAGCUUGAUGUUUGCAGAGGAGACAGUCUAGCAUUUCCCAGUCUGAUAUGGAACAUCAAAGAUUGCUAGGAUUUCUCAGUACUCAGACAUUCCUCAUUUUGUCUGAAGUGGUAAUAUCCUGAAGAGCCAAUAGUUGCAUGGAAU
rnacentral:lncRNA from 1 species